CCGCUCGCGUCUCCACCCGAGACCCCGACCCACCCCGCCGCCGCGCUCGCCCUCCCCCGCGACAGCCGCCAUGCGCCCUAUCUCCGUCGUGCCUGUGCCUCCUCCCCCGCCCGCCUGAGACCCGCCAAGCUCCCUCUACGCGCCUGCCUCCUCCUCAGCCCGGAUCCCGCCGCCAGCGCCUGAUAUGGAGAUGAAGGCGUCGGCCUCCGAUGAAACCCUAGCCGCCGUCUUGGACCACCUCAAGCCCCACACCGUCGGCACCUUCCUCCCCCCUCGUGCGUGAGACGACGACGAGCAAAAGCCUCCGGCCACACCUUGAGCGACGGCAGCUCCCCCUUUCCGCCCCACCGUCCAGCUCCCCCUCCCCUAGCGCACAUGUCCCCACCACGCUCGAAUCCUUCAGCUCGCGCGACCGCGACUGUGACCCCUUCACCUCCCUCUGCAACAUGCAUGGCGAAGAGUUUGGAGUUGUCCUUAGGCUUAGUAUUGGAUUGAGCGGGUUCGGGUAGCUGCGGGAGAGGCGGACGUGCGGCGCGUCCCCCUGCGGCGUGCCGAAGAUCUUGACAACUCGCAUGGCCAUCUAGGGUUGGGGUUGAGCGGGUUCGAGUAGUUGCUGGAGAGGCGGUCGGGCGACACGUCCCUCUGCAACAUGCCGAAGGUCUUGACGGUGAGCAUGGCCAUCUCGUCGAGCUGGUCCUGCAGCUACGUGAUGAUGUCAAUGACUUGCAGAACAGUGACUUUAUUGUAGCAGGCUGAUUUCAUCUACGAAUGCACCUGCAGGAUUCAACCCACAUAGCAUGGACCAGGCCAGAUCUAAAAAAUUUGUGUCAGUACGUGUGUUUCUUAAUAAAACCUGGUUUUAAUAGCUUAUGUCGUCUCUACAAAUGCUGGUUCUAGCUUGUGACUGUUUAACGAAGCUGCCAUUGUCUUUUGGGUUUC